rnacentral:miRNA from 1 species
ACCACCAACCCCACCGCUUCUC